AUUGAACGCUGGCGGCAGGCUUAACACAUGCAAGUCGAGCGAGCGGCGGACGGGUGAGUAAUGUCUGGGAAACUGCCUGAUGGAGGGGGAUAACUACUGGAAACGGUAGCUAAUACCGCAUACCAUCAGAUGUGCCCAGAUGGGAGUAGCUAGUAGGUGGGGGAAUGGCUCACCUAGGCGACGAUCCCUAGCUGGUCUGAGAGGAUGACCAGCCACACUGGAACUAGGACACUGUCCAGACUCCUACGGGAGGCAGCAGUGGGGAAUAUUGCACAGUGGGCGCAAGCCUGAUGCAGGCAUGCCGCGUGUGUGAAGAGGGCCUUCGGGUUGUAGAGCACUAUCAGCGAGGGGGCGUUACUCGCAGAAGAAGCACCGGCUAACUCCGUGCCAGCAGCCGCGGUAAUUC
rnacentral:rRNA from 1 species